rnacentral:rRNA from 1 species
GACGAACGCUGGCGGCGUGCUUAACACAUGCAAGUCGAACGGUAAGGCCCUUCGGGGUACACGAGUGGCGAACGGGUGAGUAACACGUGGGUGAUCUGCCCUGCACUUCGGGAUAAGCCUGGGAAACUGGGUCUAAUACCGGAUAGGACCACUGCCUGCAUGGGUGGUGGUGGAAAGCUUUUGCGGUGUGGGGUGGGCCCGCGGCCUAUCAGCUUGUUGGUGGGGUGAUGGCCUACCAAGGCGACGACGGGUAGCCGGCCUGAGAGGGUGACCGGCCACACGUGAACUGAGAUACGGCCCAGACUCCUUCGGGAGGCAGCAGUGGGGAAUAUUGCACAAUGGGCGCAAGCCUGAUGCAGCGACGCCGCGUGAGGGAUGACGGCCUUCGGGUUGUAAACCUCUUUCAGCACCGACGAAGCGCAAGUGACGGUAGGUGCAGAAGAAGGACCGGCCAACUACGUGCCAGCAGCCGCCGUAA